UACGAAGGGGCUAGCGUUGCUCGGAAUCACUGGGCGUAAAGGGUGCGUAGGCGGGUCUUUAAGUCAGGGGUGGAAUCCUGGAGCUCAACUCCAGAACUGCCUUUGAUACUGAGGAUCUUGAGUUCGGGAGAGGUGAGUGGAACUGCGAGUGUAGAGGUGAAAUUCGUAGAUAUUCGCAAGAACACCAGUGGCGAAGGCGGCUCACUGGCCCGAUACUGACGCUGAGGCACGAAAGCGUGGGGAGCAAACAGG
rnacentral:rRNA from 1 species